UACGUAGGGUGCGAGCGUUAAUCGGAAUUACUGGGCGUAAAGCGUGCGCAGGCGGUGAGCUGUGUCCGAUGUGAAAGCCCCGGGCUUAACCUGGGAAGUGCGCGGAAAACUGGCGAGCUUGAGUGCCGGAGAGGGUCGCGGAAUUCCCGGUGUAGAGGUGAAAUUCGUAGAUAUCGGGAGGAACACCAGUGGCGAAGGCGGCGACCUGGACGGACACUGACGCUGAGACGCGAAAGCGUGGGGAGCAAACAGG
rnacentral:rRNA from 1 species